rnacentral:tRNA from 1 species
GUCCUCGUAGCUCAGCUGGAUAGAGCACAGCCCUCCUAAGGCUGGUGUCGGAAGUUCAAAUCUUCUCGGGGACACCA